rnacentral:rRNA from 1 species
UGCGACAAUGGGCGCAAGUCUGAUCCAGCCAUUCCGCGUGCAGGAUGAAGGCCUUCGGGUUGUAAACUGCUUUUGUACGGAACGAAAAGGUUUCUNUUAAUACUAGGAGCUCAUGACGGUACCGUAAGAAUAAGCACCGGCUAACUACGUGCCAGCAGCCGCGGUAAUACGUAGGGUGCAAGCGUUAAUCGGAAUUACUGGGCGUAAAGCGUGCGCAGGCGGUUAUGUAAGUCAGAGGUGAAAUCCCCGGGCUCAACCUGGGAACUGCCUUUGUGACUGCAUAGCUAGAGUACGGUAGAGGGGGAUGGAAUUCCGCGUGUAGCAGUGAAAUGCGUAGAUAUGCGGAGGAACACCGAUGGCGAAGGCAAUCCCCUGGACCUGUACUGACGCUCAUGCACGAAAGCGUGGGGAGCAAACAGGAUUAGAUACCCCGGUAGUCCGG